CCCUUAGAUGUUCUGGGCUGCACGCGCGCUACACUGAUGCGUUCAACGAGUGUACAACCUUGACCGUUAGGUCUGGGUAAUCUUUUGAACACGCAUCGUGAUGGGGAUUGAUUAUUGCAAUUAUUAAUCAUGAACGAGGAAUUCCUAGUAAUGGCGCAUCAUCAGUGCGUCGUGAUUACGUCCCUGCCCUUUGUACACACCGCCCGUCGCUCCUACCGAUUGGACGAUCCGGUGAAUAAUUCGGACCGAGAGCUUAAUUGGUUCGCCAGUUUAGUCCUUGGAAAGUCUAGUGAACCUUAUCGUCUAGAGGAAGGAGAAGUCGUANCA
rnacentral:rRNA from 1 species